rnacentral:rRNA from 1 species
AUGGACUCGCGGCCUAUCAGCUUGUUGGUGAGGUAAUGGCUCACCAAGGCGACGACGGGUAGCCGGCCUGAGAGGGUGACCGGCCACACUGGGACUGAGACACGGCCCAGACUCCUACGGGAGGCAGCAGUGGGGAAUAUUGCACAAUGGGCGAAAGCCUGAUGCAGCGACGCCGCGUGAGGGAUGACGGCCUUCGGGUUGUAAACCUCUUUCAGUAGGGAAGAAGCGAAAGUGACGGUACCUGCAGAAGAAGCACCGGCUAACUACGUGCCAGCAGCCGCGGUAAUACGUAGGGUGCGAGCGUUAUCCGGAAUUAUUGGGCGUAAAGAGCUCGUAGGCGGUUUGUCGCGUCUGUCGUGAAAGUCCGGGGCUUAACCCCGGAUCUGCGGUGGGUACGGGCAGACUAGAGUGCAGUAGGGGAGACUGGAAUUCCUGGUGUAGCGGUGGAA